UACGGGGGGGGCAAGCGGUUGUUCGGAAUUACUGGGCGUAAAGGGCUCGUAGGCGGCCAACUAAGUCGGACGUGAAAUCCCCAGGCCUCAACCUGGGAACUGCGUCCGAUACUGGAUGGCUUGAAUUCGGGAGAGGGAUGCAGAAUUCCAGGUGUAGCGGUGAAAUGCGUAGAUAUCUGGAGGAAUACCGGUGGCGAAGGCGGCAUCCUGGACCGACAUUGACGCUGAGGAGCGAAAGCUAGGGGAGCAAACGGGG
rnacentral:rRNA from 1 species